ensembl:lncRNA
CCCCUCCCCCAGCCCAACAGCAUGGACACCCACUGUCUAGACAUCACGUAGGUGUGUGCUUUUCCUGGGAAGAGUCCUGCAUGGCCAGCGAGGGGCACGUGGGGCGGGGGCGGGUACACAGAGAAGUGGAGAGAGGAGCUUGCAGCAGAGACGAGGCCGGGCUCCUGGGCAGGGCCUAAGGAACCUGCCAGCUCUGGUCUUUACUCCCAUCACCAAGAGCCAGGAUGGCCAGGAGAGAGAGUCUGACGGGGACACAGCUGUAACUGGCCCCGGGGCUGGGCCCUCAGGGUGCACGGGUCCCCGGCAGCGGGCACAGGACUGGGCAAAUCUCAGUGAGCAGCGUGCCACGGAGGACCACCUGUGGUCGGAUGGAGAACCAGCAAAGGUUUGAAAAUGGGGCACGUGAGAAACGACCUUUCCUCACAUUAAACUUCACUUAAUGGAAAUAAAUGCUGUGCGGUUGCCGUGGCCCUGAGGAUAAAAAGCCUCUGGUAUCACCUCCUGCAGCCUCGGUCCCCACCCCGCCUUGGUAAACAGAGUUGGAGGCGCACGAUUGGCUCCUGUGUGAAAGCAGCUUGGCUCCCGGUCAAGUCCGAGAUUCUUCGUUCUUAGUGCUUAAAAGAAUGGGAAGCACACAACCCAAAUCCACAACUACAAAGACAGCUCUCUAUGAAAACCCAGCUGUCAAGCGACAUCCAUUAGUUGUAUCCAAGGGAUCCCGCUCGGAGUUUGUGCUUGUUCCUCUUUUCUUCAUCAGUUUAAGGGCUUUCUGGCAGGUUCGGGAGGAAAAAAGCAGUUUGGGAAUGCAACAAAAGGGAUCACACUAUCUAAAAAGAACAGAGAGAGGAAGAAAGCUGAGACUAUAUGACCAAGGAAGGCAGGAAAGGAACCAGGAGAAAAUGGCAUCUCAGGAGGAAAGAAGAGAGGACCCAAGAGGACUGCCCCUCGUGCUGAGAGCCUCAGUUAUUCUCAAACGACGGAUGGGUGAGCAGCCCAGCCACUCACAGAGCCAGGGGGCCAUCUGCGUGUUCCCCAGUCCACAGCCUCAUCCACAGCCUCAUCUCACAGCUAAAGACUCCAAGCCCUACGAAUGCUAGUCGGCUUGUUUGGGCUACCAUGGCUAAUUCAUGGGAAGUCCAUCACUGGCAACCAAAAUGCAUAGAGGUGAAAAACCCCACUCUGUUCCAAGCCAGGUGUAAGUCAGAACCAGCAUGACUGACUGAAUUCCAUUUUUCUGCUUCUUUUUGAAUGAAUAAUCACCAGCCUGCCUGGAAACUUCAUUCGCCUUUCUCUCGCCAAGCAGUAGACCGUAAAGUUCACUUUUGAACUGGCCAUAAACUCGCCAACUUUCGCUCCUACAGAUUCCUCAGGUGACUAUGACAGAAAGUAUAUUUCGCCCCAGCCUUUACUUUUCCAUUUUCUUUCCCCAAAUAUGUGCUACUUGCUAUCCCCCCGGGGUAUGGAGACUCUCUGAAACAGACGGAAUUUCCAAGCUGGGGUAACUUGUCCAGGCCUUCCAAUCGCUCAGCAACUACCACACAGCUUUAAAAAACAAAUCUCACGAGUGUUUCAAACCUGACAACUAAUCUAUUAUACAACUGAAAUUAUUCUUUGCAGAAAUGUUAAGUGUCACACCACAGAGCCUAAGAUUUUCAGCUCACUCCAUUAUUCCCAGAUAAAUCUCAGUAAAUGAAUCUAUAGAUAUAUAGAUAUACUCCCUGAUGCUGGGAAACACUGAGGGCGAGAGGAGAAGAGGGUGGCAAAGGAUGAGAUGGUUAGACAGCAUCACCGACUCAUUGGUCACUAACCUGAGCAAACUCCAGGAGAUCGUGGAGGACAGGGAAGCCCGGCAUGCUAUAGUCCAUGGGAUCACAAAUAGUGCGAAAUGACUUGGCGACUGGACAACAACAACAAAUAUAUACAUAAAUAUACACACACAUAUAUAGCCAACACGUCAAAUUUCCUCCCUGAUAUACAAAUUUUUUAAAAAUCAGAUUUUGCUCAGCAAGUUUGGAAGAAAGAGAACACUACCUUCAAACACGUAACAACAGAAUAGCGAGUCUAGAACUGAAGCUGGAGACACUUCAGUGAGUAUGAAGCCACUCAAGCUUUUCUUAGAAAAAGCAGUAAAGAACAUUCCUUCCCGCAACAUCACCUCUUUGAACAGUGACACUGAUAUAACAAAAGCCAGUGAAUGAUAAAACCAAGGUGGGCAGGAAAAUGUGGGAUGGGGUACUCGAUCUGACGCAUCUCCAUUCCAACGGGUACAUCCAGCCCCCACUAACCGUGGGGUUCUCUUAGUAUAGUAGAGAGAUACUGCUUUCUCUUUUAAGUUUACACGCAUUUGGGAGGUUUUGUUUUUAAUCAGAGCAUAGCUGAUUUCUGGUGUCUCGGGAACAGCAAAGUGAUUCAGUUACACAUAUACAUACACGUUAUGUCCAGGUUCUCUUCUGCUGUUGAACGCAGCGCCUUGUGCUGUACAGUCGGUCGUUGUUGCUUAUCUAUUUUAGAAUACAGUAAUGUGACUCUGGUUUCAGUUUUUUAAACAGUUGCUAAGUUGUUAGGACAUAAAUAGCUAAUACGUUGUGCGGACCCAAUUCCUCAUACAGAGUGGGAAGGAUGUGCUUUUGACUUAGGGAUUGCUGUGAAAAAUCGCUGAGACGUGAGGCCAAGGACAGAGGAGGCACAGAAGUCUCUGAGCUCUGUUAUCAACGCCCUGGUUUGGCACUUGGCCCGGGCAGGGGGCCGGGAGGGCCCCCAGGAUGCCUUCUUGUUUUCCCUACUCUCGGCGCCUCACCCGCUUCUACGGGGCCUGGACUUAUCCAUUCACGGAAGAGGCCUGCUCAGGAAACAGAUGUGCAGGCUGCAGAGGAAACCCACAAUCACCGCCCACGGGAACCAGCCCAGGCCUCCAUUCAUAAAAACGCAGCAAAUCCAGGGCCCCGAGACAGGAGGGGAAAGACCAGCGCGGAAGAUAAGGAUAAUGACGAACAAAUAAAGCAGCUCACCAGAGAGGAAACAGAAAUAACAAUAAUAAUAAUAAUAAUAAACCCAAUUUGAUCGUGAAAGAUUAGAGAGGAAACUGCACCCAUAAAAUUAGAAUUGGCCGCGAUUAGAAGAAGGAGGGGGAAGGGGAAGGAGAAGAAGGAAACAGCGUCCACAGAAGAGAAAGAGACGCUUGGAAAUAAAAUCAGGGUCACAGGAUCGACAAAAUAAAAAUGGAUGGAAACACGGAGCUGGUUAUCUGGACAAUCCUCCUCCACCGUGUGGGCCAGACAGUCCACAGACGGAGUCAAAGCAAUUCCUCGGAUCCAGGAGCUAAACAGACAGAUGAGCAACUGAAAACUUCACAGUCUUGCAAGAUUUGUCCAGCAGGCUCAGACUGUCUAGUAGAGGUUCAGAGACAGAGAUGUUAGAAAGAAAGAAAGAGUAAGAGAAAUGAUUGAAGCAUCGUUUUCAGGGCUGAAGUUGCUCAGCUCACGGCCCACCAAGGACCCAACAGGAAGAAGAAAUACAUCCACAUCCUGAUGACAUGUGAGAACAUCAAACAUGAGAGGAAAAUUCUGAAAGUUCACAGGACAGAGAACAGAAGAGGGGAAAGUGUCGGGGACGAACCACCGGCAGUUGCAGGAAGCUGAGAACACUCACAAGGAGUUUAAAGGAACGCAGGAGGCCUUGGCCUCGGUGGACGCUCCUUCGAGUGGUCAGCGUGAGUGACGUGGGUUACAUUGCCGUUGGGACAAGUUCAGUCACACACACCUGGUUUUGGAGAGGAUAGAAGUUGCAUAAUUAUAAUAUUAUGUGCUGCCAGGGAGGGACAAGUACCACAGGAAAGGAACAAGCUGUAGAAGUGGGCACUCGCACCCUAUUGAAACUAAACACACACAUGUGCAUAUGAACACACACGUGUACGAAGACAGAGAUGGUGGUGAUGAGAAGGAGGAGGAAGAUGGAUAGACAGAUAGACAAAUAGAUGUAAACAUUCUAAAGGACAUAGUAGGUGAAAUAAAUCAGAGGAAGACAAACAUCACACGAUAUCGCUUAUAUGUGGAAUCCAAAAAAAAAAAAAUGAUAAAAAUGAACUUAUUUAAAAAACAGACUCCCAGACUUAGAAAACAAACGUACGGUUGCCAAGACAGACAGAUGAGGGGAGGGAUAAAAUGGCCGUUUGGGACUGACAUAUACACACGACUACAUAUGUAAAAUCGGGAACCCACAAAGACCUACCAUGUGGCACAGGGAACUCUGCUCAGCACUCCGUAGUAGCCUAAACGGGAGACGAUUUGAAGGAGAAUAGAUACAUAUGUAUUUGCACAGCGGAAUCAAUUUGCUGUGCCCCUGAAACGAGAGCAACAAUGCAAAUCAACUCUGCUCCAAUGUAAAAUAAAAGCAUGAAUAAAUGAAAAUUUAAAAAUAAAUAAAUAAAAGGACACAGAGCAGACAGGUGGGAAGAGGGAGAAUGUUAAUCACGCAUCUGUGUUCUACUCUUUGCGACCCCUGGACUGUAGGCCGCCAGGUUCCUCUGUCCAUGGAUUCUCCAGACAAGAACACUGGAGUGGGUUGCCAAGCCCUCCUCCAGGGGAUCUUCCCACCGCAGGGAUGGAACCUGCGUCUCUUGUGUCUCCUGCAUUGGCAGGCGGGCUCUUUACCACUGGUGCCACCUGGGAAGGCUCACUACCUACACCACUGUUCUCCUUGCCCUCCAGAACUUCCCCCUCAGCAGUGGGGCCAGCUGUCCUUGGGUGUGAAAAGCAGUGGGAAAAAAAUGUCUCCAAACACGGUGGAACAUUCUAGAUCAUCUUGGGAGAAGAGAGCAGGAGGGAGAAUCCCCAUGUCACCCUCUCCUGGCCUUCUGUCCCGGGGAUGCCCCUCAAAUAGGGUGGCCUGUGGGGUGGACAGACGCCAUGCAGGGAACCACAGCUGGAAGCCUCAGGAUGGCCUGGUUCUGCAUCCAUGGAGAAACCAUGGGUCAGGGAGGAAACUGGACUGAUUCUCAGCUGCCCUGGGUUAGAGGCACAGGCCAAGGUGAGCGACAUAAUCCCCCCUCGUGCGGGUGCCUUUCUGACGCUCAGAUGAGUUAGCACACAAAAGCCUCUCGCAGACACGACCUCACACCUGUAGCGGGCAGGGCCCGGAUGCUCCAAGGGCCACACAGCCAACCCUCAUGUUCUGAGCAGAGACCUGAGUCAGUUCUCUGGUGGCCGGCCCCCUCCAAAACCUUCCCUGGGCUUGUCGACCAGGAUCUCACUAUAGGAAAUGUAUCAGUUCAGUUGCUCAGUCGUGUCCAACUCUUUGCGACCCCAUGGACAGCAGCACACCAGGCCUCCCUGUCCAUCACCAACUCCCAGAGUUUACCCAAACUCAUCCCAAUGUGAGUCAAAGACUCUUUUCUGAAAUGUAAUCAAAAACCAUCUGCAGAAGAAACCAGAAUAAGAAGUAAGUACAAUUCAAGUCUUAUUGUUGCCUCUGUCUCUCAAAAGAAAAACAAAAAAAAGCAGAUAUUUUUGGCAUAUAAAUUUUAUUUCAAAACAUCUGAUCCUGAGACAAAAAAAAUAAGUCAUUUUUUUUAAUGCAUCAGGACAGUCAUCAACAGGGUAUAAGCUUUCUACAAGAUCUGCCCCGCCCCCCCACCAUGGAUGGUUCUUUAAUCCCCUGUCCUUGAAAAAGGAUGAACGCAAAAUCAAGUCCUGAAUAUUGAAUAUUAUUGAAUUGAAUAUAACCUUGAAUAUUAUUAUAUAAACAAAAUGAGUCUCGAGCAUUAGAAAACACUUAAGAAUUAAGAAUGUGUUUUUAAUGCCCAUGAAAAAAAAUAUGACAAAGCGUGGGUGUAAGGGGGACUGUUUAAAGCUGAGAUGAUGCUCUCGCCCAGGCCUCCCCGAGCCCGCUGCUGUGAGUCUUUGGGUCCCUGGGGAGGACACUUUGUUUUCUUCCACAUUCUGACAUCAUCUGAUGCAACCUGAUGCAAAACGACCCACUUCUCGUCAAAGGAGAAACUGGAAGAGAGGCGGGGGUAACUCUGUCCCAGGAGAGUCUCCAGGAGCAGAUGAGGGGAGGCCAGAGGGCGAGGGUGGGGCCGACCGCCUCCCAUAGCUCAGGGAAGCGGUGGUUCCUCUGAAAAGCAGGAUCCAUCUUUAAAGAGUGGGAAUCCUUGCAGGUGGGGGUCAUAAUGCAAACCUUCGGAUAAAAAGCCAAGGCUUAUUUCAGAAAGUCUGAGUGACUGCUCCACAGGUCAUGGGAAGAGGGCUUGGAGCAGAGCAUAGGUAGAAAUAAGAUCCCCUAAGAAGGGAGAGACGGCUUCCCUGGUGGGCUCAGACUGUAAAGAAUCUGCCUGCAAUGCUGGAGACCCAAGUUCGAUCCCUGGGUCAGGAAGAUGCCCCAGAGAAGGGAAUGGCAGCCCACUCCAGUAUUCUUGUCUGGAGAAUCCCAUGGACAGAGGAGCCUGGCAGGCUACAGUCCAUGGGAUCGCAGAGGGUCACAACUGAGAGAUAACUCACACACACACAAGAAGGGAAGAGAGCAGGAGUGACCCUAGUGAUGCUAGGUCCUCGGGGCCCCUUUGUAGUGGUCCUGGGGGCCGUGGGGGGCGGAUGGGGAGCUUCUUCUAGGGCUCCCACUUCCCAAGGAGGAGGCCAGCCUGGGGAAUGUCACAGCAGGUGAGCGCAGGCCAGGCCAGCAGGGCACACGUGCGAUGAAGGAAAGCUCCCUGAAAUGUGUCACUGGGGCCAGGGCCCUCGGGAUGGCUCCGUGAGAACAGCGUGUGAGCCGCCUGCGGCCUAUGGGACCCGGGUCCAGAGGCCUGCUCCCCUGGCCUUACACAGACAUGUAGCGUCCAGCACGCGGCUUCUCACACUGGCAAGUAGUACGUGUGAGCACAGGAUUGAGACGUCGCUGUGAAAACGGUUUAUCUUAUCUACGGAUAAAUGAAUGAACUGAAUAAAGAACAAAAUACAGACCGGUAAGAUACUGCGUGAAGUUACCAUCUUGUUAUCAAAUUCAUUUGUAUAACAAUAGAAGCAAGUGCAUGCCUGGACUGACGUAAGAACUUUCAGGGUUUUGAAGCACUUCGUUAUCCACUCUGUCGCCCACAGAGAGGCGAGGAGGCUGAGGCUCCAGCGGUCGGGCAAUCCCGAGGCCAGAGGGAUGAAGGGCAAGCGGGACUCAACCCCAAGGAGUCGGGGACCAGUCACCACCCUCCACCAGUGUGUGAGCACCACGCUGCCAAGUCACGAUUUUAAGAACCCCUGUCUUUCCCUGGUUGUCAGAUUUGCUUCAUCUUGUUCAGAUUAUGUACAUUCCAGACAUCUUUCGGGUUACGUGGUUAACACGUUGGCCAACGAGAACCAGACUGUGGCUUGUUUAUUGCUCUCUACACAGCUCCUCAAAGAUGGGUGUUAACCUAAUUUCCUCAUCGCUGACUGUGAGAGAGUACUUAAGCUUGGAAGCUGUCUAAGUCACUGUUUAUUUUAAGGCUCAAAUAAAACAGGAUCCAUGAAAUUGCUUCAGAUGCUUUUCAGGGGCUCUGAACUCACAGAAUACCAUCAUUGGUGGUUUUUAAGAUUUUAUUUUAGUUGAAGCAUAAUUAGAGCAGAAAAUACUUUUUAAAAAAAUAUUGAGAAAUUUUUCCACAGAUUAUAAAAACAUUAAAUAAAUUAUAUAUAGCUACUGAAGACACC